rnacentral:miRNA from 1 species
CUGGCACAUAGGAGUUUCAUAAA